rnacentral:misc_RNA from 1 species
GAACAGCAAAACCACGAGUGCAAGAGUGUAUUAGCAGUGCAGAAGCAUAAAGUUGCUGAUAAGCAUUCCUCAUGAUCCACUGUCGCACGUAUUUUUGGAUUACAAUCACAGACGAUGCUUCCCGCAGUGCAGUAUAUAUAUUACGAGCAAUAUAACCUCUGCAGCAAGACUGUAGAUGAAUUGCAGCCAUUCGAUUUGAGAUGAAGUCCCUGCGCGCAAGAAAUGUCCGUAGCCGACUUUGUAUUUGCUUUGCAGAUAAGUCCAAAAUCUCAGCUCUUCGUGAGUCUAAAAUACCAAUCUGGCCAGCCCGAAGGAAUACCUUUGUUUUACCCAACUGAUAAUUCCCAAGCUUGAGUUUCUGCAGUAUUUUCUCAGUGAUGGUUUUUUCAUCAUUA